CAUAUUAACAGUUUACUCUACAAUGAGGGGAAAAUAAUCUGAAGAUGAGAAUUUUCUCUGUUACUCAAGUUUAUGUUACAUUUAGCACCAAGUAUAUUAUUGUAGUUGCUAUCACCUUAGGGGCUGUUUACAUGAGCCCGGGUAGCCAUGCAGGCUGGCCCGGUUAACCAGGCUGAAGGCCUGGCUAGCCAGGUUACAUGAGCUGGUGACUUUACAUGGGAAAAUUCCAGCCCGGUUAUCCGGGCGUCCCCUUUGACUCAAGUGAGAUCUCGGCUAGGCAGAUUCUUGUUAAAUGAUUUGUAUUAAGCUGGGUGCCUCGGUUAACAGGACUAGUCAGGCUCAUGUAAAUAGCCCCUUAGUUAUUAAGACUUGUUGGCAGAGUAAAAUAUAUCGGGCAAUAAAACUGGUUUCAACUUGCAACAAAUCGGAUGUUGGUGCAUGUAAGUUGUAGUGUUGUUUUUACAAAGGGAACCAAGUAAAUGAAACUUUAACAUCUAGUGUAUUCUACU